GAGCCCCUGAUCCAUGAAGUUUACAUCCAAGUGCAAGGAAAUACAUAGAGAAAAAACUGAAAUGUAUACUGCAUCCAGCAAUAAUAGGGGAGAUUAGAGGGAUCAGAGCAAAAGAGGUAGGAAAUGCCUGGGGUGUGCUGGGAUGGGUCACGUGGAAAUGGAGAAGCCAUCCCUGACAAGGGUACAUUGGAGCAGAAGUCUGGAAGAAACAAAGGAAAUGGCCUUGUGGAUCCUGGGAAAGAAGAAUUCAAGCAGAGGGAAGAGCAAAUGCCUGUGCUGGAUGGGAGCUGUUGAGGAAUCCAAGGGUGUGGCCUGGAGCAGGAGGGGAGGGAUGCAGCCCAAAUAGACAGCCACUACACAGGAAAUGCCUUCCAGAGCCAUCCUGAAAGGUCUGGUUCCUUAUCUUUUAAUAGGACAGCAACUGUAGCACUUCCUUGCAACACCAUGAGAAGUACUAGGAAAGAAGAAUCACAUUUGCUCAGCAGUGCAAGGCUAGGGGAAGGAGGAGGAAGAGGCCCAGAGGCUGUCCAUGGUCCUUGGCAUGUGGCCAUGCAUCAUUCCAACCUCUGCUUCUGUCCUCAUACCUCAUUCUCAAGUUCAGAUCUUCCUACCUUUCUCCUAUGGAACCUUUUUAAUUAUCCUGGACUCACCAAGAAAGUCCAAGAUAAACUCCCCAUUUUAAAAUCCUUUCACUUAAUCACAUCUGCAAAGUCCCUUAUACCAUGUAAAUAAAGUGGCGCAUUCCUGGGUGUCAGACACUAGGAUGGGGCAUAUUUGAAGAGCUAUUGAAUGAGUAUCGUGACUUGAAUUUAUGCAGAGGUGAGCCAAACAAAGGAAAUGAUACGAGAAGAUGGGUGCUCAAUGGAGGAGCUAAGAGAAAAGCAGAGGUCCAAGGACAAAAGCCUGAGGAACAUGUUCUCCCUUGCAGUCAUUCCACAAAUGUAUACAGAGGGCUCACUGGGCCAGCAAAGGACCAGGAGCUUGAGAGAACACAAAUUCAUCAAAGCAAGUAUACUUUGGAGGAGCUCACCACCAAAAUGUGCACACAUACUAGAAGAUGAAGACAGCCAAUGAGUCACACAGGAGAGAGUCAAACAAGGUAAUUCAUGGAGGAAAAGACAGGAGUGAUGGUGGAGGGCUUUGUGAGGUGAUAGAGAAACAAGAAGGCUCACUGGGAGAGAGAAAAAGAGAUACUUGCUGGAUGGAGACCGGGAUCUAUGAGCAUGACCAGCCAUGCUUGUCUCUUUAGCUAGAUGAACAAAACCAGAUCAGAUACUUGUACUAGAUCCACUAGAACAGAAACAUAAUAAAUUUAAAUGUCACCAAAUUCAAAGACUUCCACAUUGUGCCCACAACUGGUAUAUAACUAGACUAUUCAACCAGGAAGAAGCAUUCUGAACCCCGAAUAUCAAAUGAUUAACAUAGAAUUUGAUUUUCACAAAAGCUUGCCUGGGAAGCUGUAUUAUUCUUCCCAGAAAAAUUAUAUACAAAGUCAGAGAGCUCAACUCUUGGUGUGUCAUUCCUCUUCUCUGAGAGAUGUGGGGUGUGUACACCCCGCCUUUUGGGUGUACAUUUGCUUUGCUGUGCUUUAGUAAAUCUUUUGCUUGUG